rnacentral:rRNA from 1 species
UUCGAGUGGCGGACGGGUGAGUAACGCGUGGGUAACCUGCCUUACACAGGGGGAUAACACCUGGAAACAGGUGCUAAUACCGCAUAAGCGCACAGGGCCGCAUGGCCCGGUGCGAAAAACUCCGGUGGUGUAAGAUGGACCCGCGUCUGAUUAGCUUGUUGGCGGGGUAGGGGCCCACCAAGGCGACGAUCAGUAGCCGGCCUGAGAGGGUGGACGGCCACAUUGGGACUGAGACACGGCCCAAACUCCUACGGAAGGCAGCAG